AAUCCAUAGGUUAAUGAGGCGAACCGGGGGAACUGAAACAUCUAAGUACCCCGAGGAAAAGAAAUCAACCGAGAUUCCCCCAGUAGCGGCGAGCGAACGGGGAGGAGCCCAGAGCCUGAAUCAGCAUGUGUGUUAGUGGAAGCGUCUGGAAAGGCGCGCGAUACAGGGUGACAGCCCCGUACACAAAAGCGCAUGUGCUGUGAGCUCGAUGAGUAGGGCGGGACACGUGGUAUCCUGUCUGAAUAUGGGGGGACCAUCCUCCAAGGCUAAAUACUCCUGACUGACCGAUAGUGAACCAGUACCGUGAGGGAAAGGCGAAAAGAACCCCGGCGAGGGGAGUGAAAAAGAACCUGAAACCGUGUACGUACAAGCAGUGGGAGCACAGGUUUACCUGUGUGACUGCGUACCUUUUGUAUAAUGGGUCAGCGACUUAUAUUCUGUAGCAAGGUUAACCGAAUAGGGGAGCCGGAGGGAAACCGAGUCUUAACCGGGCGUUAAGUUGCAGGGUAUAGACCCGAAACCCGGUGAUCUAGCCAUGGGCAGGUUGAAGGUUGGGUAACACUAACUGGAGGACCGAACCGACUAAUGUUGAAAAAUUAGCGGAUGACCUGUGGCUGGGGGUGAAAGGCCAAUCAAACCGGGAGAUAGCUGGUUCUCCCCGAAAGCUAUUUAGGUAGCGCCUCGUGAAUUCAUCUCCGGGGGUAGAGCACUGUUUCGGCUAGGGGGCCAUCCCGGCUUACCAACCCGAUGCAAACUGCGAAUACCGGAGAAUGUUAUCACGGGAGACACACGGCGGGUGCUAACGUCCGUCGUGAAGAGGGAAACAACCCAGACCGCCAGCUAAGGUCCCAAAGUCAUGGUUAAGUGGGAAACGAUGUGGGAAGGCCCAGACAGCCAGGAUGUUGGCUUAGAAGCAGCCAUCAUUUAAAGAAAGCGUAAUAGCUCACUGGUCGAGUCGGCCUGCGCGGAAGAUGUAACGGGGCUAAACCAUGCACCGAAGCUGCGGCAGCGAACGUAUCACUUAAAGC
rnacentral:rRNA from 1 species